rnacentral:lncRNA from 1 species
UAAAGAUUGUUAGUAUUGUAUUAUGUCUCUUUGAUCUGUUUUUCUUGUGUAAUUUGGAAUAGCCUGUAUUAUGCAUAAUUAGGAAAUUUUGGUUAUCUCUAAAUCAAUUUAAAUCAUUUCAUUUGCUCUAAUUAAUGAAAUUUGGUACCCUCUUAUUCAUGGUAACUUUAUAUUCUUAUUUUGGAAUAAUAAUAUGGAUAGCUUCAUACUUAAUGAAUCUUAUGAUUGACUAAUUUAGUUGAACAUGCCUAUGGAAAUUAUGAGCAUGGAUAUUUGUCUGUAAUUGCACCUUCCUUAUUUAGUUAUGUCUAUUUACCGUUGUAAAUUAUGCUCUUUACUUGUUUUAUAUUUUAAUUGAUUUUGUUUACCUUAACUAAAAGUGGGUAAGUUUCCUUGCUUGCUUUUAUAUUUGGUACAAAAUAAUUUAAAAUAAAUCUAAUUUGGCUCUCCUUUGAAAUAAGGAAAAAUAAUAUUAACUGACUCCUUAAUUUAUUUUUUCCCUUAUUUGUGCCCUCCCCUUCACUAAAUAAAUAGACCCCUGCUCUCAUUCUUCAGACUCAGUCAUUGAUGUUUACAUACUCUAACAAGAGCAUAAAAUACUCCCCACUCUAAAGAUUUAAAAUUGGGUGAACAUUCUAAGAGCUUCUCUACUUGAUUUUGUUGUGUUCGGGUCUAGUAUCGAAAUAAGUUUAGUCUUCAUUGCUGUUAAAUCUUUCUGCUUUAACUGGUUAGUUGUUCUUCCAUUAGUUUAAUUUCAUCUUGCAUUAUUAUUUUGUGUAUGUUUGAAAUAAUAAAGGAAGCAUCCGGGUCAGUUCCUUUCUUCCCUCUUUAUGUGUGACAUCAUACAUGGUGUGGUUCUUUACUUGUUUAAAUUCUUGUAUGUAUGCCCAUGAUUUAGCUUGUGUAUUGAGGAAACCUGCAAAUAGUUAAUAUUAUCAUAUAUAUAUAUACUUGUUUGUAUCUUUUGUUAUCCGCGAGCAGGUUUGAACACAAAGUUCAAGAUAUGGAGAGUCGCCAUGGGAGGGAAACAAUAGACAAGCGGAUUUCAUUUAAUUUACGUCUGUGUAUUAUUUAAUCUUUAUUAUUUUUCUGUAAUAAUCUGUAAACUCGAACUCCAUGGAUUUAUAUGAAAUACUUGGGGAAUCGUCUAAGGGGGAGGGGAUUACGUGCUAACUGUUUCUUCUUUUUUAGGCCUUAUUUUAUUAUGUGAUUGUUAUAGAUGAUUUGUAUAUCACUAAAAAAAAAAA